rnacentral:rRNA from 1 species
GAUUUCUGGUAUAAUGCACCUGGCCCGCGGCCUUUCAGGCUUGUGAGUGCCGGCGCGCGUUUACCAUCCUUCUAGAAAACAGGCCUGCCCUUUACUGGGUUGGGUUUGCGAUCUAGAUCUUUUACUUUGAAAAAAUUAGAGUGUUUAAAGCAGGCUUGCGCUAUGAAUACAUUAGCAUGGAAUAAUAAUUUAGGACUUUGUUUCUAUUUUGUUGGUUUCUAGGAAUGAAGUAAUGAUUGAUAGGGACAGUUGGGGGUGCUAGUAUUCAUCGGCCAGAGGUGAAAUUCUUGGAUUCGAUGAAGACUAACUUAUGCGAAAGCAUU